rnacentral:rRNA from 1 species
UUCGCAAUGCCCGAAAGGGUGACGAAGCGACGCCGCGUGUGGGAAGAAGGCCUUCGGGUUGUAAACCACUGUCGGGAGUUAAGAAAUGUAAGGGUGUUAAUAGCGCCUUUACUUGACAAAGGCUCCGGAGGAAGCCACGGCUAACUCUGUGCCAGCAGCCGCGGUAAUACAGAGGCGGCAAGCGUUGUUCGGAAUUAUUGGGCGUAAAGAGCACGUAGGCGGCUUCGCAAGUCAGUUGUGAAAGCCUUCCGCUUAACGGAAGAACAGCAGCUGAUACUACAGAGCUUGAGUACGGGAGGGGAGAGUGGAACUUCUGGUGGAGCGGUGAAAUGCGUAGAUAUCAGAAGGAACGCCGGCGGCGAAAGCGAUUCUCUGGUCCGAAACUGACGCUGAGUGUGCGAAAGCUAGGGGAUCAAACGGGAUUAGAUACCCCGGUAGUCCUAGCCGUAAACGAUGGGCACUAAGUAGAGGGGUUUU